rnacentral:siRNA from 1 species
GGCCGGUCCAAACGGAUUGCGG